GGACGCGCGUCCAGCCGCGCCAGGAGCUGCCGGGCCCUAGGACCAGCGGGCUGGCGAGGGCCCCGGCCUGCGCGGGUGGGAAGAACAGGACGCUGAGCUGGGCUCUUCUGUCCACCCGGGGGAUGUUAUUUCAGGUGUGAAGAAAGGGAAGUCGAGGCCCAGAGAAGUGAAGGGCCCCACCUGAGCUCUGUCAUCUAAGAACCGGGCAUGCACAACCGGAGCCCAGGUUUCAUCAGGGAACUCUGCCGCUUCCAACAGAACUUUGCACAUGGCAAUAAUCCAUUGGAAAUCGAUAUAAGAAACACCAUUUAAAUAAAAAACCUAGCAAUAAACCUAACCAAGGAAGUGAAAGACCUAUACCAUGAAAACUACAAGACACUCUUAAGAGAAAUUAAAGAGGACACUAAUAAAUGGAAAUUCAUCCCAUGCUCUUGGCUAGGAAGAAUUAAUAUUGUCAAAAUGGCCAUCCUGCCUAAAGAAAUCUACAGAUUCAAUGCAAUUCAUAUCAAAAUACCUACAGCAUUCUUCAAUGAACUACAGCAAAUAGUUCUAAAAUUCACAUGGAAGGACAAAAGACCACGAAUAGCAAAAGCAAUCCUGAGAAGGAAGAAUAAAGCAGGAGGAAUUAUGCUCCCUGACAUCAAGCUCUACUAUAAAGCCACAAUAAUCAAGACAAUUUGGUACUGGCCCAAGAACAAACCAGUGGAACAGAAUAGAAAGCCCAGAUAUAAACCCAGGCAUAUAUGGUCAAUUAAUAUAUGAUAAAGGAGCCAUGGAUAUACAAUGGGGAAAUGACAGUCACUUCAACAGCUGGUGUUGGCAAAACUGGACAGCUACAUAAAUAUUAGCAACUUCUUCAUGAACAUAUCCCCCUGGGCAAGGGAAACAAAAACAAACAUGAACAAGUGAGACUAUAUCAAGCUGAAAAGCUUCUAUACAGCAAAGGACAUCAUCCGUAGAAUAAAAAGACAUCCAACUAUAUGGGAGGAUAUAUCCAUAAAUGACAUAUCCAAAAAAGGAUUGACAUCCAAAACAUACAAAGAGCUCACGCACCUCAACAAACAAAAAGCAAAUAAUCCAAUUAAAAAAUGGGCCCAGGAUCUGAACAGACACUACUCCAAAGAAGAAAUUCAGAUGGCCAACAGACACAUGAAAGAUGCUCCACAUCGUUAAUCAUCAGAGAAAUGCAAAUUAAAACCACAAUGAGAUAUCAACUCACACCAGUAAGGAUCGCCACCAUCCAAAAGACAAACAACAACACAUGUUGGCGAGAAUGUGGAGAAAAGGGAACCCUCCUACACUGCUGGUGAGAAUGUAAACUAGUUCAACCAUUGUGGAAAGCAGUAUGGAGGUUCCUCAAAAAGCUCAAAAUAGAAAUACCAUUUGACCCAGGAAUCCCACUCCUAGGAGUUUACCCUAAGAAUGCAGUGGCCCAGUUUGAAAAAGACAGAUGCACCCCUAUAUUUAUAACAGCACUAUUUACAAUAGCCAAGAAAUGGAAGCAACCUAAGUGUCCAUCAGUAUAUGAAUGGAUAAAGAAGGUGUGGUAAAUAUAGAACAUUAUUCAGCCAUAAGAGGAAAAUAAAUCCUACCAUUUGCAAAAACAUGGGUGAAGCUAGAAGGUAUUAUGCUCAGUGAAAUAAGCAAGGUGGAGAAAGACAAGUGCCAAAUGAUUUCACUCAUAUGUGGAGUAUAAGAACAAAGAAAAAACUGAAGGAACAAAACAGCAGAUUCACAGAACCUAAGAAUGGACUAACAGUUCCUGUGUGGUGAUCUCCAAUAAGUUCUUCACAAUGAUAUAAAGGGCAUAACAAUGUGUGGGCAAAGGGUUUGUUUGUGUUUAUACAGAGAAUCAAAGCCUAAUUUGGCUACCCAGAAAAUGAAUUAAGAUACAAUAUGAAGAAGAACUUCCAACAUCAACAUUAUCUGGAAGAGUCAUUCCAGAAGAUGAUCAUCAAAAAACUUCAACAAAGAUCCUGGCACUGUUGCAGUUGUAGCUGCAUUCAUCCCACCGGUUCCUGGACUUGCCAUUGGAAUGAAGAAGGAGAUAUCUAAGCUGGCCUGUGCACACAGUAAAACAACAAAUUUGACUGGAUCUAUACUGUCGGAACUCAACCAAGAAUUAGGAGAAGUGCAAGUUGCAGCACUCCAAAAUCUUGCGACUACAGACUAUCUACUGUUAAAAGAACAUAUGUGAUGUGAACAGUUCCCAGGAAUGUGUUUUUUUAAUUUGUCUAAUUUUUCUCAAACUAUUCAAAUUCAGUUAGACAAUAUCCAUCAUAUCAUUGAUAAGUUUUCACAAAUGCCUAGGGUGCCUAACUGGUUUUCUUGGUUUCACUGGAGAUGGCUGGUAAUUGUAGGUCUGCUUUGGUUAUGUAGCUGUAUUCCUAUUAUGUUAAUGUGUGUGCACAAUUUACUUAGUAGUUUAAAACCUAUACAUGCUUAUGUUACUCUACAAGAAGAUAUGUCAAAGAAAUAAUCAAUCUUCCCAUGUUUUCUUCCAUCUGCUACUUAUAUAGCUUUUCUUCUUCCUUCUUAAUUACAACCCUUAAGUAGAAUUCGUGCCUCAUAAUGAAAUUACCAAGUAUCAUAAUUCUUCCAAAUGGUAAAGAUACCUCAAGACAAAUGCUGGGCAUAGAAGCCACAGGGCAUAAAUCUGCAGAGAAGUAAAAAGCUAACCUUUUCAAAGAAUAUUGCUUCUCUCUCACUUACCAACUUUACAUUUCCCUGUAUGGCCCCGGAGGAUGACUGGUUAGCCAGAGACGGGUAAGAUAAGAUUCCUCAAGGGAGGAACAACCUAAGACAGGCACAGUCGCAGGGGGGCCAUCAGGUGAGAAAUUGGGGAUCAACAGAGGUGAGGCUUAAAACCUCACCCCCCCUGUUUUGAGAGAAAUAUUCUGCAUCCAUGGAUGUUUUGUUGCCCUUGUCUAGCUUGGAUUAAUACUUAGUCUAUAGGCACAAACCUGAUUAUUUGCCCUCUUACAGCACUAAAGUAUCUUUUCUACCUUUAUCUUGCAUCUACCUACCACUUCAGCAUUUUAUUAAAAUAAUAAUAAUAAUAAUAAUAAGGGAGAAAUGUGGGAUUCACAUAUAAAUCAAGUAUAAAAAUCAAAGGAAUAUUUAUAUUUGACCUGAUUGUUUAUAGUUCAUAAUGUGUGAUCAAAACCGAAAGUUUCUGUGAUGACUGCCCUUGCACUGUUCACCAUGUAAGAACUUAUUCACUAUGUAAUAAUUUGUUCACCAUGUAAGAACUUGUUCGUUAUGCUUCAGAAGAUUGGAGACUGUUGAGAAUUAGGCUUGGGGUUGAUUAAUGAUUGUGCAUUGAGUCCCCUAUACAGAAUUUUAUUGUUGUUAACAACCAUUUGAUCAAUAAAUAUGAGAGAUGCCCUCUCAAAAAAAAAAAAAGAGAAAAAGAAAAACAGCAGCAGACUCACAGAACCCAAGAAUGGACUAACAGUUACCAAAGGGAAAGGGACUGGAGAGGAUGGGUGGGAAGAGAGGGAUAAGCAGGAAAAAGUGGCAUUACAAUUAGCACACAUAAUGUAGUGGGGCAGGGGGACACAGGAAAGGCAGUGUAUACAGAGAAGACAAGUCAUGAUUCUAUAGCAUCUUACUAUGCUGAUGGACAGUGACUGUAAUGGGGUAUGUGUGGGGGACUUGAUAAUAGGGGGAGUCUAGUA